rnacentral:rRNA from 1 species
UACGUAGGCAGCGAGCGUUGUUCGGAGUUACUGGGCGUAAAGAGUGCGUAGGCGGUGUUCCAAGUCUGUUGUGAAAUCUCCCGGCUCAACUGGGAGGGUGCGGCGGAAACUGGGACGCUGGAGUACGGGAGAGGUAAGCGGAAUUCCUGGUGUAGCGGUGAAAUGCGCAGAUAUCAGGAGGAACACCGGUGGCGAAGGCGGGUCUCUGGGCAGUAACUGACGCUGAGGAGCGAAAGCGUGGGGAGCGAACAGG